UCGUGUCGUGAGAUGUUGGGUUAAGUCCCGCAACGAGCGCAACCCUCACCUCUUGUUGCCAUCAGGUCAUGCUGGGCACUCUAGGGGAACUGCCCCUGUCAACGGGGAGGAAGGCGGGGAUGACGUCAAGUCAUCAUGCCCCUUACGCCCUGGGCUACACACGUGCUACAAUGGCCGGUACAAAGGGAUGCCACACCGCGAGGUAGAGCUAAACCCAAAAAGCCGGUCUAAGUUCAGAUUGGAGUCUGCAACUCGACUCCAUGAAGGAGGAAUCGCUAGUAAUCGC
rnacentral:rRNA from 1 species